rnacentral:rRNA from 1 species
UCGCCUGUUUAACAAAAACAUGUCUUUGUGAAGAUCUACACAGUCUGGCCUGCCCACUGAACUAUUAAAGGGCCGCGGUAUCUCUGACCGUGCGAAGGUAGCAUAAUCAUUAGUCUUUUAAUUGGAGGCUCGUAUGAAAGGUCGAACGAGUGAUAAGCUGUCUUAACAAAAAAAAUUGAAAUUAACUUUAAAGUGAAAAGGCUUUAAUAUAUUAGAAAGACGAUAAGACCCUAUAAAUCUUUACACUAAACUUAGUAUUAGGCCAAUCUGUUUGUCCAAGGAAAAAUACUAAAAAAGUGUUUUGUUGGGGC